rnacentral:rRNA from 1 species
AUGCUUCUGAAUAUCUUUUGCGUUGUUAUUCAUCAGUAUGUACUCCAUCUGUCUACCAUACCAUGUUUUUUUACAUUGAAGUGUUGUUCAAGUGGUCUGUUGCAAUGCCAUCUUAGUUUCCCAAUCAUACAUGCAUAUGUUGCCUUAGUGUUUUUCUAUAUGUAUUCCGCUAUCAUACAGUUUUACAUUCAACUAGUGUUUUUUACUCUGUUGUCAUGUCGUAUCCCUAGCUCUUACAUCAUACUCCCUCUGCCGGAUUGCAUGUCGCAGAAAUGGAUAAAAAUGGAUGUAUCUAGAACUGAAAUACGCCUAGAAACAUCCUUAUAUUUCCGGAUGAAGGGAAUACAUGUCAAUAUGCCAUGCCUUUCUAUUCUUCAGUACCUAUUCCAUCUCUCUGCCCUAGCAUGUUUUAUAACUGAAGCACCAUUCUUCUAUAUAAGGCAUGCAAGGGGAAGACGGCUAUGUUAG